CCUACGGGAGGCAGCAGUGAGGAAUAUUGGUCAAUGGACGAGAGUCUGAACCAGCCAAGUAGCGUGAAGGAUGACUGCCCUAUGGGUUGUAAACUUCUUUUAUAUGGGAAUAAAAUGUUCCACGUGUGGGAUUUUGUAUGUACCAUAUGAAUAAGGAUCGGCUAACUCCGUGCCAGCAGCCGCGGUAAUACGGAGGAUCCGAGCGUUAUCCGGAUUUAUUGGGUUUAAAGGGAGCGUAGGUGGCUUGUUAAGUCAGUUGUGAAAGUUUGCGGCUCAACCGUAGAAUUGCAGUUGAAACUGGCAGUCUUGAGUACAGUAGAGGUGGGCGGAAUGCGUGGUGUAGCGGUGAAAUGCUUAGAUAUCACGAAGAACUCCGAUUGCGAAGGCAGUUCACUGGACUGCAACUGACACUGAGGCUCGAAAGUGUGGGUAUCAAACAGGAUUAGAUACCCGUGUAGUC
rnacentral:rRNA from 1 species